rnacentral:lncRNA from 1 species
AUGGAAUAUUAUUCAACCAUCAAAAGGGAGGAUAGAUUGGUGCCUGCUGCCACAUAAAUGCACUUUGAAGAGAUGAUCCUGAGAGAAGGCAAACACAAGGGCUAUAGGUGGCGUGACUCCUUUUACAUGAAAUAUCCAGGGGAGGCAAAUGCAUAGGCACAAAAUGAAGACUGAGGAUGGCUGGGAUCUGAAGAGAGGGGAGUAAAGAAGUUUUGUUUUGAGUACAGGUGUUUGUUUGUUUGUUUGAAGCAAGGUUUCUCUGUGUAGCCCUGGCUGUCCUGAAACUCAAUCUCUCUGUCUUGUGAGUGCCAGAAUUAAAGGUACCUGGCCUCCCACCUCCACCCGGUUGGUUUUCCAAGGUCUUCUCUAAGUCUGGGCCUCAGAAGUGGCCGGGCUCUCAGACCUCUUCAAAUACUCUUCUUUCUUUGUCUUCCACUCAGGCCACCUCCAGCCCCUUCAGGUAACCAUCCAGUGCCAAGGACCUCUGCCCACCAUAGCCUGUCAGUCUGUACUCCCGCAAGAGUGAGCCCAGCCCUUGCCUGGUUGGUUGAAGGUAUUCCCAGAAGGUUUUGAGCCUAGAUUUUUAGAAUCAGAUGGAACACUUUGACUCUUGUCAUCCAGUGCUGUGCAAUCAACUCAUAAAAGACUGUUGGCAAGCUUUUUAUAUCAAUAUGUUUUAAAAUAUCUACUCGUAAAGCCAUGCAUGGUGGUACACGUCUGUAAUCCCAGCACUUGGGAGGCAGAAGAGGAUUUUGGGUCCCAGGGUCGCCUGAGCUACAAUGUAGCAAGAUCCUGCUUU